UCCUCCACACAGAGCUCCAUUGACUACUUCAUUUCUGAUUAACUGGAUGAAGUAAUAACAUGAGAUGGUGAUGUCAGUGUAUUAAAUUAAAUAUAGGGAAGUGAGGCCUGUUGCAGGGAGAAUGGCAGAAUGACCUGUUAUAUGUGGGUCAGUAUCAAACUGCCGGAUGAAAACAGAGCUAGAUAAUCCCUGGCAGUGGACUCUGAGCCAUUUUCAGCCAAUAUGAUUUAAAGCAAGGCUAUAGCUUGAGGCCUGCAGUUCACUGAAGUCAAGUCAUUCUCAGUGAGGCAAACUUUUAACUUGGUGGUGCAGCUUGACUCCAGGUCAGUCCAACCAAAUGAAUUCAGAAUUAUACUUGCAAAUGUAAGCUUGAGGGCUUAGGUGCAUUAAGAAAGGAGAUCGCUCUUUGAGACAGUGGCACAAUAAUCAAAAAUUGCAAGUCAUGGAGAGCUUGCUGCAGCAUUUGAAACUGAAAAGAAAACCUUAAAUGGUGGGAAGAAAACCGUGCCCCACUGGAGUCAAUGGGAGUUUUGUUAUUAAUUUCAACAGAACUGAAAUCUCAUCCUAUAUGUUUUCCUGUUCUUUCUCAUCCCACAACACCUGUGAAUUGCAAGGGCAAGAAUAAGCGCAGUCCUCAACAUUAAACGGCAGUUACACUCUUGUCCUAUA